UACAGAGGUCUCAAGCGUUGUUCGGAUUCAUUGGGCGUAAAGGGUGCGUAGGUGGCGCUGUAAGUCGGGUGUGAAAUUUCGGAGCUUAACUCCGAAACUGCAUUCGAUACUGCGGUGCUUGAGGACUGGAGAGGAGACUGGAAUUCAUGGUGUAGCAGUGAAAUGCGUAGAGAUCAUGAGGAAGACCAGUGGCGAAGGCGGGUC
rnacentral:rRNA from 1 species